CACGUAGGGCGCAAGCGUUGUCCGGAAUUAUUGGGCGUAAAGAGCUCGUAGGUGGUUUGUUACGUCUGCUGUGAAAUCCUAGGGCUUAACCCUGGGCUUGCAGUGGAUACGGGCAGACUAGAGGUAGGUAGGGGAGAAUGGAAUUCCUGGUGUAGCGGUGAAAUGCGCAGAUAUCAGGAGGAACACCGGUGGCGAAGGCGGUUCUCUGGGCCUUACCUGACACUGAGGAGCGAAAUCGUGGGGAGUAAACAGG
rnacentral:rRNA from 1 species